UGAUAUGUUGUGGGUGUAAGUUGAUUGGCGUUGAUGAGUUGUGGAUGAACAAAUAGGGGUCAAUGUCGUGCACAACCUGCUUCCCCAUAUAAAGAUG
rnacentral:precursor_RNA from 1 species